ensembl:lncRNA
AGUUCGACCCCACAUUCCAGUUUGUGAUCAUGAUCCUGCAGAACGUUGGAAGAAUCAACUCCAGCGUCUUUGAUAGAAACGGCUUCGGCUCCAUCACCACCCUCCAGCUGAACGGGUCGGGCGUCACACAGAUUUCUGAGAACGUCUGCAGCUCCGAUCUCUCAGUUUGGACCGGAACCUUCUGUCAGAGAUGAACACAAACUGGUUCCGAGAUCCUGCUUCCCUGGACACUCUCAGCCUGGCCGGAAACCAGAUUGAAGUUGUGGACGCGACCGCGCUCCACGGACUCACGAACCUCAAACAGCUCCGGCUGAAUAACAACCGGAUCAGAACCAUCCACCCCGACAGUUUCACCUCCCUGGUCUGGUUGACGGAGUCGGACUUGUCUGACGACCGGCUGACCCGGCUCUCGCCGCGACUCCUCGGGUCGCUGAGGUCUGUGAGGUCCAUCCGUCUCCAUGGAAACCGCUGGAGCUGUUGGUGUGAUGCUGAAGACUUUGUGGCGUCUCUGAAAGACCUGCAGAACCGGUCUGUGCUGGUCCGACCCACACAGGUGACCUGUGAGAUCCCCCCCCUCUCUGAAAGGUCAGCCUGUCGUCAAUGUGAGCGUUUGUCCAACAGCAACCCCCAGAGUCCAGCAGAACCAGACCCAAUCCGCUGACAACCGUCCCUCCAUCCUCCGGUGCGCCUGAACAACCCGUCAACGCUUCUGUUUAGGAUCGGACUCCAUUCAGGAGCAUCUUUUUUAUCUCCUAGUUUUUUUUUCAUAAAGUUGAACAUUUUUGAACCCUCUAAAGCAGAACAUCCAUUUAUUUAUAUUUUUAAACUUUUUAACAAGGUUUUUGAUCAUUUAAAAUUAAAAUGCUAGAAAUGACAAUGGCACCAUCUUGUGGCUAAACUGAAAAGUGCACCAUUUUUUUAUUUAGCUUUUUCCUGUUUGUUUGACCUGCACAAGUGAUUUAUCAAAGUCUGAGGAGUUUCAGGUUUAAUUUUAGUUUUUCUUUUUUCUUGAAGAAUAAAGUCAGAAUUCUGAACUGACUUUAAAGUCAGAAUUCUGACUUUAAAGUCAGAAUUUCCCUUGACCUUUUUUUUUUUUUCCAUGGCCCUAAUCCUCUUCCGUGAAUUCCUCCAUGAUCAACUUGCAUUUUUUAUUUUCUUUCUUAACCUUUUGAAUGUCAGAUGCUAGCUUGACACCAGCAUCUUUCAGAGAGUUCUCCUUGUCCCGUAAGGCUUUCAACUGUUUGUUCUCCCUCACCUGUCUUACCCUCAUACACUCAGUACGUCACCUGUCCCACCUCAGACAAUAGAACACUGGACCGGUUUUUUGCCAACACCAAGGAGGCCUUCAGCUCAGGGAACAAGGAGGCGCUGAGGAGGAGGAUCAGGGAGGGAAGAAGAUGGAGGAACAGCAGCAGAACAUCAGUGGGACGUGGAGAAGCCUGAAAACCCUCUCUGGCUACAACACCCCCCAUUCAUGGGUUAAUAGGUUUGACAUAAGCAACUUCAGCUGAUGAUUGAACCGCCUGAAGGUCGCGGUGAUCCCGCCCCUUCUUCAUACCUGUGCGGGGUUGUGGGUUUCGUGUGGAGACCUUUAGCACAGUGUUUUUUCAACCUUUUUUGAGCCAAGGCACACUUUUUCAAUGAAAAAAAUCCCGCGGCACACUAGUAUCCAAAAGGUAAAAAUUUUAAUCGGUAUUGAUGUACAAUCUAAUUUACAUUUUUUAAAUAAGUGGGAAGCGUCAUUGCAGCACAGAGGCGCUGUCAUUUUAACCCAGUGUUUCUCAAUGUCAAUUCUCGUACCCCCCUCCACACACACAAACACAACUUUCUGCUGCGAAUAUCAUUGGUACCAUUAGUCAAUUUUCUCAAGUUAAACUUUUACCUCUUCAAAACAGUCUACAUUUAUUAUCAUUAAAGAAUUAUUUAAAAAAAUAUAUUUAAAAAAAACUUAUAAAUAAUCAGUUUUUAUUAAUGUUUCUUUUUUUUAAGAAUACUUCCAAAACUUUCAAAGUAAAAACAACAAUCUUUCCUUGUUUCCCUCCACAGUCGUGAUGGGAAUUCUGGCUUUUCUCAAAAAUUCUGUUCUUUUGCAUUAGCUCUCUGAAAACAGUGGCUUUUUCAGCUGCAAAAUGACUUUUUAUGUUGUUUUUUUUGCUUUAUUUAAUUUAUCAUAAAUUAUU